rnacentral:rRNA from 1 species
UACAGAGGUGGCAAGCGUUGUUCGGAAUUACUGGGCGUAAAGGGCGCGUAGGCGGCCUUCUAAGUCAGACGUGAAAUCCCCCGGCUUAACCUGGGAACUGCGUCUGAUACUGGGAGGCUUGAGUAUGGGAGAGGGAUGUAGAAUUCCAGGUGUAGCGGUGAAAUGCGUAGAUAUCUGGAGGAAUACCGGUGGCGAAGGCGGCCUGCUGGGCAGUUGCUGACGCUGAGGCGCGACAGCGUGGGGAGCAAACAGG